CCAAUCGCAUCGCCAUCCCCUCUGCCAAUCGCUCGCGGCCGCGUCCAACCUCCCACCUCGAGCUCUGCCUUGAGCCGCCUCUCCUCCUCUCCCCAAUCCCCGCUCCCCAUUCGUCGCCUCUUCUCGAUGCAGAGGUCAGGGACGGCACGAACCGGAUGCGUUUCGUGCGAAGGCGCGCGAGCAGCGGUGGAGGAAGCAUCGGUGGUGGUCGCACGGAUGAAGCAGGGGCGGAUGGCGUCCGUGUUGUCCUCGUCACCAUCACAGCGUGCCGCCGCACGGAGGGCUGAGCGGCUCGGCAGGAGGAGCGGGGCUUCCCACUCGUCCUGCUCCGGGCGAGCAGCAGCGGUGUGCCAUGGGCCUGGCGGUUGAUGUGGGAAAGAGAGGAGGCGAGCAGAGAGGCCGAGGUCAGUGGUCACCACUACGUUGAGGAGCAAACAGAGAUACAGGACAAGAACGAAUCCAAAUCAGUAUGGGUAUCUCUCUCCCAAUCCUUUUUCCUCCAGCAGAAACGGGCCAUGCCCGAGCAACCCCUCUCUCUCCUUCACUCUACCUUUUCUUCAUUUUUUACCUGUUGCAUCCAGUUGUUGUAUGGAUGAUUUUUUGCUGCUACAGGGAGAUGGGAAGAGAACGAAGAAAUGGUGAGGGAGGUCGAAGAGGAGCCAACAGAUGAAUAUGGAUCUGCAGUAAUCAGGUCCUGAAGCAUUGCCAUGUGGUGUUUGGUGCAUAUAUGCAAAAAUCAGGGGUACAAAUAUGGACUUUCGAACAAUUAUGAGAAGUGUGAUCUUAAUCCCCAACCAGGCGAUGAAAUUGGUAGAUGUUUCUGCAAGUUUUGCUUCAACUCUGUUUGCCUCUUUGGCCCUUGGUUGAUUGGGCUGCUUAACUGGGCAAUCGUGGUCUCCAUCUUUCUUUCAGGUUUGACUCUUUGGCCCUUGCUUGAUUCAGGUGCUCCUACAAAAUGUUUCUGCAAGUUCUGUUUCAUUGAUGUUUGCCUCAAUGAGAAGGGAUCUACUUGUCGGGAUUAACAAGCUUUGCUGAUGUAUUAGGUUGUGAUUUGGUCUGGUCCUCGAUGUACUGAUUUAGCAAAUAGCUUGACUCGGGCCAGUCACAAACUUACAAUACAGAUUGCUGCUCUUUUCCUUGACGGCCAAAUUAGACUUGUCAUUUGAUGCCAUUGUUACAAAUCGUGUAGCUACAUGCAGGUAUGAGAACCAGAAUGAGAAGACUAUGGGAGGUAUUUUCCUUACUAAUGUUUGCUAGAGUUUCUCUGAAUAUGCAAUAUUCUGAUCCAAUUUUAUCCUAUAUGCUGAACGCAUCAAGAAUGAAAGUUAAACAGAGCAUGGCACCCUUCUUUUCAGAUAAUUUAUCAUGUAGUUAUGCACGUGUUUCGCUUCAGAUGUGGUUCCCAAUCGGAUCAUCUAUUCAGGUAUGGCCUUUCAAUAUUUUAUCAUAGUAUUUCUUCUGUCUGGUUAGUGCCCACAUGUUCUGUGCUUGGUGAAAUUAAAUGCAUAUACAAAACUACAAACUGCAGUUUUAUUUAUGUAUUUCAGGUUCAUCUGUGUCGUGCUUUCCAUGCCUCACUUUCUCAUCUUGAUAUGCAGUUAAUGUAUUGGUUUAAUCUCUUCUUUUUCUUGGAUGCAUCUUACAUCACUACAAAAUAUGAUAUGGUGUUGAGUGUUGCUCUGUUCUUUCAUUCUCUGUCAAUUGUAAUACAUUGCACUUAUUAAUGUUCUUUUAUUCAUAUUUCAGGCUAUGGUCCUACCAAUAUGAAUCCUGCUCAAAAGAAUGUCUUGGGUAGGCUGGUAUAUUGAAUUCUGUGUAUCUUGAUCUUGCAUGUUGGGAACUUCUCCUUGGAUUGCCUCACUCAUGGGUUCCCCUCUCUACUAUCUCAAAUCAGAAAGCAAAGUAUGGUGGCGGCUCGCGGGAUAUGAGGUGGGAACAACAAGGCUUGCGUUUUUGUUCCUCCAUACAAAAAGGUUUUAGUUCCUCAAAAACAUUUUCCAGUUUAUUUUUGUCUCUUAUGGAUGCUUCUUUUGGUUUCUCUUGUAGUGUAUAUUCAGGUUUUCGUCCUAUUUUUGUAUGGUUAGCCACCUGCAAUAUUUUUGGCUCCUAUGAUGGUUCAAUUUUGUUCGUGCAGAUGAAGUUGCAAGUGUAUAAAAAGCCUUAUGUUGACAUUACCAUGUAGGAAUUCAUGCCAAUCUUAGGGUCCCUAUUUACUGUUAGUACGUCUUUCAUUUCAACAACAAAUUUUCUGUUCAGAGUGGCUUCGUAGAGUGGGAAUCCUUAAUUUGCUCUAAAAUUUCCAAAUAAAGUGGCUCUAAUUCAUAUCUACAUUUUUCUGUGAGUUCACAAUAAUAUUUGAAUCACAUUUGGUUUUUGAAAUACUAUUGCUUGAAAAUAUAUGUAGGGACAGAGCAGUUAGAGCAACUCAUGGAAACUUUAAACCUGUUUUUUUGAACCAAUUGUCGCUGCAGAUAUCUAAAACUUGAGCUCUCAAAUUGUGAGAGCUGGUUUCGUAACUUCUAUUUUAUUUACUGAACUCUGAAUCAUAGAUUGUGAUGGACGGUUCCCUAAUUUGCAUCUUAUUUUUUGAAAGUUUUUAGAGAAUAUUUACAGUGUAGUCAAACAAACAAAUGUAUUUGAAGCUAAUUCAGAUUUCUUGAAAGCUAACACGCAAAUGUGGAUUUUGGUGUUGUUUGAGAUUCUUAGAUUCAUGUUCUGCAGGUAGGACCACAAAUAGGGAAUCUAAUCCAAGUUACUAUUGAAAUCUCAUAUUCGAUUACUAACCACAUGUUAUGGAAUUGGUUUCCUAAUUUAUUUUUGAAACAUCAUAGGGCGAAGAACGCAUCGAGGCUUAUUUUAUAUUCAUUUCAGUCUUGGUAUGCUACAAGUCUGUAACUGCUUAAUAACUUUUUUAGCAUUCUUUUUUCAUGUUUGUAAUACUAUCUGGUGUCUGCUAAUUUACCAUGUGAUGAUUCUUUCCUCACUGAUAGUGAGCUCAUAUCAAAUCUGCUUGCAAUUUUUGGUUAUAUUGUUAUAUAUUUUUUCUCCGUAGCGAAAUGGAUAUAUAUUGUGAUAGAUGCGAGCUACAAAUAUAUCUUCUUAGCUUGGUAGUAAUCUACUUAGUUAUUUUUUCCAUUGCAUGUGUUAGAAAAUAACAUUUAAGUUUCAGUGCCCGAUUUUUCUAGCAGAUAUACUCCUGAGGCUAGAAGGUACAAUAUGAAGGUAGAUAUGCUUUAAUCUGAGAAACAAAUUGGGGGAUUUUUACUGUAUUAUGUGGUGAAAUUUUGAGAUGAUCUAAUUGAUGUGAUGGUUCAUUUUCUUCUUAUCCAUUCGAUUUAAUGGAUAAGUGAUGGUUCAUUUUCUUCUUAUCCACUCGCUGCAUGUUCCUUUCAUGACAUGAUAUUCUCAUCUGCAUGGUUAAAUUCGGUUUAUUCUGCAGUUUGUUUGGUCACGUGCAUGGUGCAACUUAGAUUAUUAUCACAAGGCAGCUCUGUAAUCGUUCUAACUCUAUUAUGUUACCAGGUUAUGGCAAUGUAAGAUUUCCUAAAUGAUAAGUAUCUUCACUAGCUAGCUAGGUUAAUUCUCAUCUGAAUUGGUUUCCUAUAGGCUCCAACAUCUUGGUAGCCACCCUGCCGCAAACCAUGUUAGUUCUUUAUGGCCUGGUUAGGUUUUGCUUGAAUGUUCUUCGGACUUGCAGUUAUUUUCUGAAGCAUGAAAAUUGAGUAGAAAAUUGCAUGUUUGACACUAUGCAACAUUGGAAGGUGCUUUUCUCCCUCUUUCACGAAUGAUGGUUAGCUUGCACUCCCU